GACGAACGCUGGCGGCGUGCCUAAUACAUGCAAGUAGAACGCACAGUUUAUACCGUAGCUUGCUACACCAUAGACUGUGAGUUGCGAACGGGUGAGUAACGCGUAGGUAACCUGCCUGGUAGCGGGGGAUAACUAUUGGAAACGAUAGCUAAUACCGCAUAAUAUUAAUUAUUGCAUGAUAAUUAAUUGAAAGGUGCAAUUGCACCACUACCAGAUGGACCUGCGUUGUAUUAGCUAGUAGGUGAGGUAACGGCUCACCUAGGCGACGAUACAUAGCCGACCUGAGAGGGUGAUCGGCCACACUGGGACUGGGACACGGCCCAGACUCCUACGGGAGGCAGCAGUAGGGAAUCUUCGGCAAUGGACGAAAGUCUGACCGAGCAACGCCGCGUGAGUGAAGAAGGUUUUCGGCUCGUAAAGCUCUGUUGUAAGAGAAGAACGGGUGUGAGAGUGGAAAGUUCACACUGUGACGGUAUCUUACCAGAAAGGGACGGCUAACUACGUG
rnacentral:rRNA from 1 species